GGCCCUAUCGUCUAGAGGCCUAGGACGGAGCCCUCUCAAGGCUCAAACUCGGGUUCGAAUCCCGAUAGGGUCAC
rnacentral:tRNA from 1 species